rnacentral:rRNA from 1 species
GACGAACGCUGGCGGCGUGCUUAACACAUGCAAGUCGAACGGAGUGUCGAACGGGUGAGUAACACGUGGGUGAUCUGCCUUGCACUUCGGGAUAAGCUUGGGAAACUGGUUCUAAUACCCGAUUGUGCAAGCUGCGCUCGCGGCCUAUCAGCUUGUUGGUGGGGUAAUGGCCUACCAAGGCGUCGACGGGUAGCCGGCCUGUGAGGGGGUACGGCCACAUUGGGACUGAGAUACGGACCAGACGCCUACGGGAGGCAGCAGGGGGGAAUAGUGCACAAUGGGAGGAAGCCUGAGGCAGCGACGCGGCGGGGGGGAUGAAGGCCUGCGGGUUGUAAACGCCGUUCGACAGGGACGCGGUACCUGUAUAAGAAGCACCGGCUAACUACGUGCCAGCAGCCGCGGUAAUUC